rnacentral:rRNA from 1 species
UACGUAGGGCGCGAGCGUUGUCCGGAUUUAUUGGGCGUAAAGAGCUCGUAGGCGGCUUGUCGCGUCGUCCGUGAAAACCUGCAGCUCAACUGCAGGCUUGCGGUCGAUACGGGCAGGCUCGAGUUCGGUAGGGGAGACUGGAAUUCCUGGUGUAGCGGUGAAAUGCUGCAGAUAUCAGGAGGAACACCGGUGGCGAAGGCGGGUCUCUGGGCCGAUACUGACGCUGAGGUGCGAAAGCGUGGGGAGCAAACAGG